GCUCUGGAAAGCGGUGCGGCAGCACCCACCGACGGGGAAAAUCAACGGAUACUGGCACAGGCCGGAUUUCCGUUGGGAAAUCUCUCAGGUUUCAGGACAGAGAGGG
rnacentral:ncRNA from 1 species